CACGGCAAAUUAGGUAGAUUUUAAUAAAUUACUUAUCUCUCUGAAUACUUUACAUAUGCUUAAGAAGGAACAUAGCCUGUUUGCAAACAGUGAAAACCCACAGCCUAUAAAAAUCCUUUGAAGAAAAUGACAAAUAAAAAAGUAAAUUAAAAAAUGAAAUGCAUUAUAUCCUAGACCUCUAGAGACAAUUCCUUUGCAGCAUUGAUUCACAGCUCCAUUAAAAAUAUCAAUUAAAUCCUUCAGUGAGAUUGAGUAAAAGCUAGAAAAUUAACUUUCUGAGCUGCUUUUCAAGGAUCUGGUUAUCCAGA
rnacentral:lncRNA from 1 species